rnacentral:rRNA from 1 species
AGUGAACGCUGGCGGUAGGCCUAACACAUGCAAGUCGAACGGCAGCACAGGAGAGCUUGCUCUCUGGGUGGCGAGUGGCGGACGGGUGAGAAAUACAUCGGAAUCUACUCUGUCGUGGGGGAUAACGUAGGGAAACUUACGCUAAUACCGCAUACGACCUACGGGGGAAAGCAGGGGACCUUCGGGCCUUGCGCGAUUGAAUGAGCCGAUGUCGGAUUAGCUAGUUGGCGGGGUAAAGGCCCACCAAGGCGGCGAUCCGUAGCUGGUCUGAGAGGAUGAUCAGCCACACUGGAACUGAGACACGGUCCAGACUCCUACGGGAGGAAGCAGUGGGGAAUAUUGGACAAUGGGCGCAAGCCUGAUCCAGCCAUACCGCGUGGGUGAAGAAGGCCUUCGGGUUGUAAAGCCCUUUUGUUGGGAAAGAAAUCCAGCUGGCUAAUACCCGGUUGGGAUGACGGUACCCAAAGAAUAAGCACCGGCUAACUUCGUGCCAGCAGCCGCCGUAA